UGAUUGUUUAUAGUUUUACCUCUAAUAGUAUCAUCUUCAAGCGUUAGCCUAUAGUUAUUUUUAGAUCUUUGUCACGUCUAUUACGGGUAUAAGGGGUGACAGGUUGUGUUGUGUCAUUGCCUGUCUUAUGUUCUUUGUCUUGCGCGGCCCCUUGUGUGGAUUGGCUUGUUUUUAAAAUACUAAAAGCUACUUGCACGUCAGCCAUUGCACUUCACAACAAUCAGAGCACGUCAGCGAUCACAUCUCCGAGCACUUAGGACUAAAUAACAAAUCUAAAGCAGCGUUAUAUUCCUCCAGAGGACGUGGAAUAUCUACACCCCAGUGUCACCCACAGGGGUGUCUGUCUGUCAACAUACAAAGAAAAUAAAGUCUCACACCCGUAGCCUGUGUCUGGUCUUCCUAUAUACCUACACGAUUCCGGUUACAA
rnacentral:lncRNA from 1 species